rnacentral:rRNA from 1 species
UAGGGAAUCUUCCACAAUGGACGCAAGUCUGAUGGAGCAACGCCGCGUGAGUGAAGAAGGCUUUCGGGUCGUAAAACUCUGUUAUUGAAGAAGAACGUGUGUGACAGUAACUGGUCAUGCAGUGACGGUAUUCAAUCAGAAAGUCACGGCUAACUACGUGCCAACAGCCGCGGUAAUACGUAGGUGGCAAGCGUUGUCCGGAUUUAUUGGGCGUAAAGCGAGUGCAGGCGGUCUUUUAAGUCUGAUGUGAAAGCCUUCGGCUUAACCGAAGAAGGGCAUCGGAAACUGGGAGACUUGAGUGCAGAAGAGGAGA